CUUCAGUGACGCAAAGCCCCGCCCCGCGGCGCGUUGCCCGGCAACAGCCCCUGGCUCCGCCCCGACGUGGAGCCCCGCCCCUCCGGCGCCUUGUCUACUGACAGUAGAGCACCGCACGCCGGAGCUUUUUGGGCGCCCAGGGAUGGUGACCUAGGCCAAGGGCCGGACUCUUCCGGACAGCUCCAGCUUGUCAUGGAGGCCACAUUGCUAAGGCUGGUUUGGCCGAGGCUUGGAUUCCAAGCCACCUCCUAAGCCUCCAACCUCUCUUGGAUCACAGAUGGCGAGGCGGAGAUUAUCUUGUUUCUCUGUGCUGAAAUGGGAUGGGAUGGACUGUGGUUACCUGUGGGGCUGCUAGUAAGAAAGAGAAUUUCGAACGUGGAUAGCACACAGGGGCCCGAAGGGUCAAAGGAGUAAGGAGCAGAGCCACACUGAAACAAGCUGACUGACCCCUGAGCCUGUGUUUUUAACUCAUUUUAAACUGCCUGCCGACUUGGACUUCAUCUCCUGGCUUUCGGCACAGACU